rnacentral:rRNA from 1 species
UACGGGGGGGGCAAGCGUUGUUCGGAAUUACUGGGCGUAAAGGGCUCGUAGGUGGCCAACUAAGUCAGACGUGAAAUCCCUCAGCUUAACUGGGGAACUGCGUCUGAUACUGGAUGGCUUGAGUUUGGGAGAGGGAUGCGGAAUUCCAGGUGUAGCGGUGAAAUGCGCAGAUAUCAGGAGGAACACCAGCGGCGAAGGCGGCGCUCUGGGCCGGAACUGACGCUGAGGAGCGAAAGCGUGGGUAGCAAACAGG